rnacentral:rRNA from 1 species
AAUCAACGCUGGCGGCGUGCCUAACACAUGCAAGUCGAACGCGAAAGCGUCUUCGGACGUGAGUAGAGUGGCGUCCGGGUGAGUAACACGUAGGUAAUCUACCUUCGGGUGGGGAAUAACGCCUCGAAAGAGGCGCUAAUACCGCAUAACGCAGCGGCAGCUAAUGCUGAUUAGUUGUUAAAGCGGGGGACCGAGAGAUCGGCCUCGCGCCUGAAGAGGAGCCUGCGGCAGAUUAGCUAGUUGGCGGGGUAACGGCCCACCAAGGCGACGAUCUGUAGCUGGUCUGAGAGGACGGCCAGCCACACUGGCACUGACACACGGGCCAGACUCCUACGGGAGGCAGCAGUGGGGAAUUUUGGGCAAUGGGCGAAAGCCUGACCCAGCAACGCCGCGUGAGGGAGG